UACGUAGGAGGCGAGCGUUGUCCGGAAUCACUGGGUGUAAAGCGCGUGUAGGCGGCCUGCCAAGUCUGCUGUGAAAGCGCCUGGCUUAACCGGGCGAGGUCGGUGGAAACUGGCGGGCUGGAGGACGGUAGAGGGGGGUGGAAUUCCCGGUGUAGUGGUGAAAUGCGUAGAGAUCGGGAGGAACACCAGUGGCGAAGGCGGCCCCCUGGGCCGUUCCUGACGCUGAGGCGCGAAAGCGUGGGGAGCGAACAGG
rnacentral:rRNA from 1 species